UACGGGUGCUCCAAGCGUUAUCCGGAAUUAUUGGGCGUAAAGGGUGUGUAGGCGGUCGUGUUAGUCUUCUGUUAAAUUCUUCGGCUUAACCGGGGACCUGCGGAGGAAACGGCACGACUGGAAGAUACGAGAGGCAUGUGGAACUCAUGGUGUAGGGGUGAAAUCCGUUGAUAUCAUGGGGAACACCGAAAGCGAAGGCAGCAUGCUGGCGUAUUCUUGACGCUGAAACACGAAAGCGUAGGUAGCGAAUGGG
rnacentral:rRNA from 1 species